GUAGGUGGCAAGCGUUGUCCGGAAUUAUUGGGCGUAAAGCGCGCGCAGGCGGUUCUUUAAGUCUGAUGUGAAAGCCCACGGCUCAACCGUGGAGGGUCAUUGGAAACUGGAGAACUUAAGUACAGAAGAGGAAAGCGGAAUUCCACGUGUAGCGGUGAAAUGCGUAGAGAUGUGGAGGAACACCAGUGGCGAAGGCGGCUUUCUGGUCUGUAACUGACGCUGAGGCGCGAAAGCGUGGGGAGCAAACAGGGAUUAGAUACCCUGGAAGUCCACGCCGUAAACGAUGAGUGCUAAGUGUUAGGGGGUUUCCGCCCCCUUAGUGCUGCAGCUAACGCAUUAAGCACUCCGCCUGGGGAGUACGGCCGCAAGGCUG
rnacentral:rRNA from 1 species